AGUAGUCAGCAAGACAGCAAGACAAUGCAGUUGAUUGUUGAACUGAAAGCAAUGAUUUCCCUUGGCAUGAAGGGUGAUAGAAGCAAAUCUUCAAUCAUUAUUCAGCGAAUAAAUGAGGAUGACAUAGCAGAACAAAAGCACAAAGGAAAAGUGAAUGGGUCAAGAGGAAGAAGGAAACCUAGAAAGUAAUGUCUGGAUGGAGUUGAUCGGUUCCUCAAAAUGAAAAAAAGGAAAAAAAAAUCAGGAUGAUGAUCAUACGUCUCAGCUUAUAGUUCUUACGAGCUAGCGUUGUUCCCACAGUGUCAUUCAUUUAUAGUUCUACCGUCAGUAUUGAGAGAAAUAGCACUGAAAAAGGUGACCCAAGUGAGCUGAGAAUUCUCUGCAGCUGCAUCUUGUUUGGGGGGACAUUUCUGUGCAAAGUAAAACAGAAUUACUGUAAGAGCAGUGGGCUGUCUCCUUCUCUGGAGUCCUUGGAAAUGCCCAAACUCACCUUGUUCAUUACAAUUCUGUUCAGCAUAUCCUUCAAUUUGCUCAAGCUAAUGUGGGUUUCUUAUCCUAUCUUUUAUCCUCACAGCAAUAUCUUAAGAUAAUUUAGGCUUAGACAAAGGUGAUCCAGUAUGUCUGUGGGAAGAUGUGAAGCUGCAUUUCCCCAAUCUCACCUUUACGUGGUAUAGGGGAAAAGCAUGUCUGAGGAGUAGUGGUGGAAUAAAUAGAAAAUCUACAGUACAAUAACCAAAUUAUGCUGAAACUGCACCAAAGAGGAAUAGCAAGCAACAUAAACAUAUCCAGUUUGCAGGAAGACUUGGGAAUGCAUUUCAUAUUCUAACAAAAAUGAAAGCCUGCAGCUCCCCUUGAAAUAUCGCACUCCAUCAGUGCUAAACUCCCAAACAAAACAAAGGGCUUCAUUUAUUGCACAAAUUGGCUGGAGUUACUAAAUUCUGAAAGGCAAAACAGGUUGUAAUUUUAUUACCGGAAUGGCAUCUCUUCUUUAUGCUCUGAAUGCAGUUAACUAAAAAUGAUAUUGUUUUUUAUGCUCAUAAAUUUGAUCAACUUUGGAAUGAACAAAUUACAUCUUCAAGGCUGACUCAAUACCCAGGACUAUUCAUAUAUCUGGUAGGCUGUGAAGUCCUUUGGAGUGAUUUCUGAAGUUCCCUUUGGACCAGACCCAAAGGUGUACUGUACCUUCAGAAGCUUAGAUUUGCAUCUUAUUAUUUCUGCUUUUAAAAGA